GAUCAUUACUGUGAUUUAAACUUCUUUCUUACACCGCGUGAGCGCACAACAACACCUAAACACGAAUAACCAUGUCACCCAGAGAAAAUCUCAAACGAGAAGAAAGAAAAAAAACAAAACUUUCAACAACGGAUCUCUUGGUUCUCGCAUCGAUGAAGAGCGCAGCGAAAUGCGAUACCUAGUGUGAAUUGCAGCCAUCGUGAAUCAUCGAGUUCUUGAACGCACAUUGCGCCCUCCGGCAUUCCGGGGGGCAUGCCUGUUUGAGCGUCGUUUCCUUCUUGCGCAAGCAGAGUUGGGGUUGCCACGGCCCGUGCGGCCUGUGUGUGGCUCCCCCGAAACGGAACGGCAGCGGGACUGAGCGAAGUACACAACACUCGCGCUUGGCCCGCCGAACUUUUUUUUU
rnacentral:misc_RNA from 1 species